UCAUACAAGAACUUAGCCUUCAGACAAACAGGAAAUGCACCACAUCAUGUGUCUACAAAUAUAAAGUGCUUUAUAAAUGGCUGGCAUGAGGUUACUUAUCAAAGCAAGAAAAGUGAUUCAGCAGUGGACUGCUCAUGGAGAACCAAAAGGAAAAGAAAUCAGGAUGGGACGAGGGAAACAAACUGAGGACUAGCUCAGAGUCCUGCCCAUUUCUUCACAGGUGACAUCAAAGCCUGGCCUAAGAUGCUUUCAGCAGAAGGGUGUCCUUGACCUGCAGGUGGACACAACACAUGAUGGUUUUUAACCCUCAGAAGGAUGGAGGUCACAUUGCCUGAACCGUUUUGAACUUAAAUCUUGUGGUGGUGAAGUAAAGAUGCUAAAGAUGGCCACCCUCAACACCCAGAUUUUUCCUUUUCCACACCUUUGAAUUAACAAGGGUGAAUUUCACCUCCCCACUAACCUGGCUGCAUAGGUGGAAAUUUCUGAGCAGGAUUACAAGCAAGUUAGAAAGGCAGAGAAGUAGGUGGUGGUGCAGGAGGUGAAAGCAAGCAGCUAACCAGGAAACCAAACCAUAACACAGCCAUAGGAAAGUAUCUGACUAUGAAAAACAGACAAAUGCAAUUGGUGAUGUCAGUUCCUACUACAGCAGGAGGAGCAGACCCACUGCAGUGCUGCAGCCAGGAAAACACAGACCAGAGCAGACUGGUGCACGCUGUGUAGAAAGUGUUACCAGGCUCAUGCAGCAAAAAUACCAUUUAAUUGCAGGCCUCAAGGAAAUGACUAUAUUGUCCAUGCUUGACCUCAAUUCCACUCCACAGAGCUCAGAGUAAAGCCAAAACUGACCUUCAGAAGUUUCUGGAGCAAUUCCACUCCUACCAUGCACAAGUUUCCAUCCCCUCUGAUUUAUGGAAGUCAGGCAUAUUGUGAAACACAUUAUAUAAAAUUGCUGGAAGGAAAAAUUAAGGAAAAAAAGUUUGCUGGAGCCAACAAAGGUACAAAAACCCCUUACUGAAUGGAGUUUUUCCUCUGUAAAUGAUGUUUUGUUUGAAGUUGGUCUCUGGAGGGGUAAAAGUCGGUUAACAAAGUAUUUUUCUGAAACGAAGAUGAGGGAAACACUUUUUAAAAUACCACACAUGGGAAUAAAACCCUUUACUUCCAAGCACAUUGAGGAUGAAGUGGGUCACUGUAUGCUUUGAUUCACUGACUUGUGUCCCCUGUAAUCACACAAUGUAUGAGCACAGUAGAUGCAGAGGCACCAGUCUACUUGCUGGUCCAGGACCGUGGCAAUGGCUGGUUCUUGAUAUGCAAUAGAAAGAUUUGCUCACUGAAUGGCCUGAAACUGAACAGAGGAGGAUUAUUUUCAAAGUCAGAUUCACACACAUUGAGCACUAACCUUAUUGUCUGCAAUAGCCUCAAGUACUACAGAUUUGGGGAGUGAAGCAACCAAAUUGUCACUUAGCCUUCAAUCUUCAUUGGCUGGGGUGGCCUUGGGGCUCUGCAGGUAUGUUGGCAGGCUCCUAGGCUGUCUAUCAAUCCACCCACUUCAAACAUAAGAAGGUUUUUUGUAUAACAGGAGUGAUACUGCUGUUGCCCAGGCUAAGGAAGUAACAGAGGUAAGGAAAUCAGGGAGCCAGUCUCCUAGGGCAUCCUGGUGAUCGGGAAGCAGAGAAGGUUUUCUUCCAAAUGGGGUCUUAAAUGAUGAACAUCUUCUCUGGAGAAAUUUUGAGAAAUAUCCUUAAGGUUGGACUGUGCUUGAGACAACAUUUCCAUUGUUUAAGGAUGACAGGAAAAACCAGAGUUUCUGAAAGUCACAUUUUAAGUCAGUGUUAGAGGUUAGGGACCACGUGCAGGUCUCUGCAAUGGCAAAGCAGUUCCCUACACACAAAGGCCUUUCCAAGCUUUCCCACUUCCCAAGAAUGUUGUGCUGAGAAUCCAGGGCAUUUUCCUCUAAAACUGUUUAUGUGUGAUUUAUAGCCCAAAGACAAGCAACCAGUUUGCCCCCCAAACUUUUCAGUGGUGCUUGGAUUAAAAUUUUUCAGGCUAUAUUAAGGUCUAGGGUAUUGAUUUAUUUUUGUGAAUUCAUUUUCCUUUUCCUUGUCACAGCUUUCACAGAUUUAUGAGGUUAAAGAGCAUGAAGCUAAUUAAAUAAUCUGACUGGUUGAACAUCUGUUGAAACAUAGUAAUAACUUCUGAAGCCAAUGUUCCUGAUGAGCUAUUAAUUAUGAUUUAAAAACUAGAGGCAGGGUUUUACCAUCAAAGAAAAUCAACAAACCAAAACCCUAGCACCCUUCUGGGCUCAGAGUGAACCCUCAGCAUCCCUUUGAAGCCUUUCACACCCACAGUCCAGGUGUCCCUUUUAGGCUCUCUUACAGCCAGAGUUCCUAAUGAAAGCCAGAUAGUCUGUAGGGAAGGUCCAGUCCCGUUUGAAAAUUGUUGCUGUGCAGCAGCUACAAACAGAAAUUAAGAUUCAGACAUGAUGGAGCUUAACUGAAUCCACUUUAGCCCAAAUCAGAAACAAAUGCAUGACCUUAGGUUAGUGGUUUAAGUCCAAAUAGCCACCUAAGUAAGGAACUGAACCUUUUCCUCAGUUCCCUCUUGCUUUCCAUCCCCAUGGAGCAGCUCUGGACUGACUUAGGACUUCCUAGGCCCAGAAAUUUCCACCAGACGGAUGUGCAGGAAUUUGGUUCUCAGCCUGGCAUAGUCUGCCUCAAUUUGCUUAGACUUUGCAUUGUCUUCACAUCUUGUUCUCAAAAUAGAUUUGUCAAAAAUUCAUUAAUGGAGCAGAUAAAUAAGUUAGAUCAAUUCCCUCCUACUACUCAGGAUCAGUUUAUGUUUCAAGGCUGAUGAAAGUACUUUGAAUAGAUAAGUAAUUUGCAGCUGUUUGUAAAUCCCCUCCUCUGCUGGUAAAUUAUAGGGGCUGUGGCAUGCUUGUUUGUGCAGAGUGAGGGUGUGCCCCAAGGUCUGCAGGAGUUAAUGACAGAUCCAGAGGAAAAGUGCUCACUGAUGCUAACAGCAUCUCCAGGCUCUCCUGCACCAAAGCCACAGGAUUGCAUGUGCUUGCCCUUUCUGUGACUUUUCCUUUUAGAAAUGAACAAAUUGUUCACAAAGUAAAUAUUAUCCAUAUUGUAAAUUAUUCAUAGUCUCAAAGUGCAGUGGGUGAAAGUGGGAUUGAAGCUUAUGCUGAGACUUUUCUGCAUAACCUAAAAAUGGAAGGGAAGUUUUACAUAAAAAAAAAAAAAAAAAGAAGAGGAAAAUCCCUCAGCGUCUUACAGUUCAGUUCAGAUCUCUAACAGCCUGUAGACCGGAACUGACAGGAACAUUUCAAGGUUAAAAAAAAAUUAAAACCAUAGUCUCACAGGUAUUCCUAACAGUAUCUCAGAUUAUUCCAAGUGUAGGUGAUAUUAUUAGGCAGUAAGGUCCAGAGCCACAAAUGGAUUUUGACUUUCAAACUUGCCUGCAAUAAGCUUCAGACCCUUCAGCCCAUGCAUGCUGUGGAGGGCUCCUGAGGGAAGAGAAACUUUUCUGUGUGGCACAUUUUGGGUCUCAGUCUUUCUGCAUCCUUGGGGACUCAUGAGUCCCAGAACCACUCUAUGAUGAGGGGUGUGUACUUGUUGGGACACUGAGUGCACCCAAGUGUUACCAGAUGUGGCAGCAGCAGAUGCUGCCCAGGUUGACUUUGAUUUAUCUUGGUUGUCAGGUUAUCUCACAUUUAUUUUCACCAUCCCAUUAAAACUUCUUUACUCUCCCUGGUUUCUCUCAGGGUCUUUUCAUGAAAUGCUCAUUUCAAGAAGACAAGGACAGGUAGCUACACCCCUUGUCCUAGUCCAGACAAUUCCCUUAGUUCUUGAUGGCCCAUUCACACAGCUCCCUGUGAGGCUCAUCCUUGUCUCCCCUCCCAGACAAGGAUUUUAACUCACUGCUUCACCCAGCAUACAGACAAAUUAAUAUCCAUGAAAGAGAAUUGUGUCCCAUGAACUGACAAAUACUUCACAGUGUUUUGUCAUCCCAUCUUCCUUCCCUUUUCCCACUUCAGGUCCAUUUUCCUUACCUGCAUCAGGAGCUGCUUCUUUUUCACAGCAACCACUCAACCCAUUGAAUAAAAUCACAUGUAACCCUGGGUUAAGCUUGGAAAUUGGCCAACAAAUCCUGCCUGAACCUUCACCCACCCAACACUGCUCUAUCAGGACCCUCAGUGCUCAACACUGGGACUUGAGUAGGGAAUCACUUGCUUAAAACUUGAAUUUCAAUGCUCAGCAUCAGGAUGUGGGAGCAGAGAUGACUCCAUCUUACAUAGCCUGAAUGUGCUACAUCUCCUGUUGAUUCAGUUCAUCCACCCUGAGACUUUAGAAACUUCCUGUGCUAAAGUCAUUAAAAGAUUAACACUGUGCCUCUCACUGUGCCUCCUGGUCAGCCACAGCGUCCCAGCCAGCCUGGUCAACCUCUCUUCUUCCUCACUCUGCUUCACGUCUGGCUUCCAGUUUUUCUCUCCUUUUUGCUUUCCACGUUCAUGUAGCCAACACAAGAUUUUAAAAACAGGCAUCAUCAUAAUAUUUCUGUUUAAUUUAAUAAACAUGUU